rnacentral:lncRNA from 1 species
GCGUCAGAACGCAGGCCGCGGGGCAGGACGUCGAGGGCUCGGGACGCCUUGCUGGCUGGCGACCUGGCGCGUGGAGCUGGGGACCGGGAUGAGGCGACAGGCUCAAAAACCACAGAUGAUGGUGCUGGAUCAUCGCUAGUUAAAGUGCUGGAUAUGCCCAAGGUCACAUGGCCUAAGAAAAACUGCUCUCCCUUCCAAGGACCCAGCAGUCUUUAGACCAGCUCAAGGUGAAGUGUGAGAGUGGCCUGAACAUGGACAGGAGGAGGAGACCCUCUGGUCCUUUCUCACUUGGGAGUGAUGGGUAAAAUAUCUCACUGUAAAUCUCCCUAAGUGUUACCCACUGUGACUGAAACGUUAUAUAAUAUAGACCGACCUGAGGUUCAAAGAUCAUACUUUAACAUUGUGAAAUGUGCUAACAAUUCCAGUGCUCAAAUCUUCUGUCCCCCCGUACCCCCCCCCCAUCACCACUUUCUCCCUCCAUCACCACUCCAGCCAAACUCUCUGGAUGACUUUGAACCUCACGUAAACUGGUAAAAGUAGGUACAUAUUUGGUUCUAUCAGACUUAACUUUUUUAUUACAAGAGUACUCUUGAUCAGGGUGCAUGGAAACAAGUACCUCUAUAAACCAUGUAUUGGAGGAUAAGUUGAUACAAUUUCUAUAAAGACUAGUGCCAUUAUGUGGUCUAUGCAUGGAGAAAGAGACAGAUAUCCAGACCCUCCUAUAUUAUUUUGUAAGGAGACACAGAGUUUUAGCCUUAAAUCAUACCUCAUAAGCCAGGCAUGAUGGAUACCUAUUGUAUUUGGCUAUUCUUGGUAGCCGGCUUGACUACAUCGGGAACCAAAGUGGCUAGGUACACAUGUGAGGGAUUUUGGUUUUGUUUAUGAAUUAAGUCAUUGGCAGUGGGAAGAAGACACACUUCUAAUCUCAAUGUUCUGAGGUGAGACUCUGGGCCACAGCUUCUGCUGGCAACCUGUAUGCAGGAAGAAAGCAGCUUUUGCCCCCUUCCUGUUUGUUCUUGCUUUCGCUGGCACAUCCAUUUCUUCUUGGAAUUAAAGCCUACUUCUUUGGGACUCUGGUGAAUACCGAAGACCAGCUGAGACAUCCAGCCUUAUGGUCUGAACUACUACUGGAUUCUUAGAUCUUGCAUUGGUAGACAGCAAUUGUUGGGCUUGCUGGAUCACAGCCUGUAAGCUAUUCUAAUGAAUCACUGAUAGAUGGUAGAUAGAUAGAUAGAUAGAUAGAUAGAUAGAUAGAUAGAGAUUCAUUCUAUAAGUUCUGUGCCUCUAGAGAACCUUGACUAAUAAACCUGUAAUUCCUGUAUGUGAAAGAUAGACACAGGAAUUAUGAAUUCCAAGCCAGUCUGACCUAAUGAGGCUCUCCGUUAAAUAAGUUAAACACACACACACACUUGAUAUACCACAGAAGAAAAAUAUAGUUGUCCUCCAAAAAUAGAAUUGUCUUUACUUAUAAUGGCAUAUUUUAUAAAAAUAAAAAAACUAUGUUGGAGAAUAUGCUAUAAAAGUAUAUUAAUUGUAUUAUGAAGUAAUACAAAUGGUCUACACAUAUUUUAUAAAAUAUUCCAUGCUUAUGAAGAAACACGUUUUCACAAAAGGAAAAAAAAUUGUACCAAAAUGUUGAUGUUUUAAAAAUCCCUUUAAGUAUGGGCAUUUAAUAUGUUUCCUUUGGGCUUUUUUGUAUCUUUCUAAAUUAUGUUUAAAGAAUGUAUGUUAUUUUUGUACUAAAACUAUAAAACAGUAACCUUGUUAACAGUC